rnacentral:lncRNA from 1 species
UAUGAAGUUCUUAAAGAUGGUUGUAUUUGAAAAUUUUCGCAGGGGCUAAUAUUUAAGGACCAAAUAUGUGAAAAAACUCAUAACCAGGGUAAGGACAAAUAACUACACGCAGAUAACCUUAGCAUCACGAUUGCAUGAUUGGCACAUCUUUCCAGAGUCAAGGGACCACACAUCACCCAGAUUUAUUUUCCCAAUACCUAAACAGAAGGCUUCCUUCUGCCAAUAUAAAUUUACCUACAAUUAUGGCUUGAAUUAAAAUCAAUGGAAGUAAAUAUACAAAUUCAUAAUCAAUUGUUACUUCGCCUACUCCUAUUCACAAACUAAUAACAGAAUUUCGUCAGUAAUAUGCUAUUUUGAUGUGACCAAUUCCUAGUCCGACUUAUUAAUAUGAACUUUACCAAAAAUCAAAUCAUUCUGCACUACUCCUAUCUCUUUUUAAUUUCACAAUAAGUUAUCAGCAUCCACUCAAACUCAAAGCAUAGUCAUUUCCCUUUCCCUAAUUUUUCGGGAAAAAACAAAGCAGAUACAAUUACUAACACAACAUUUUGAACCGUAGCAAAUUUCAAAUUCAAUCCUCAACUAUGUUGGAACUGACAGUUGUUAACUUUUGUUUUUUGGCCACAAAUAUCUAGAACACACUGGCCCGACUAAUCCAUUUCAUUCCACGACUCGAACACAAGACCUAUUGAAAAGAAUGUACCUUGGACCUAACUCAACCCCAAAAGCUAGCUUAUGAGGUGAGGAUUGUCCAAGCCAUAUAAAAUUUAAGUAGCUUUUAAGCAUCAAAUGCUCAAAAUUACUUUUUUAAGUGCUAGAGCUGAAUUUAUAAAUAAGCAGCUACGUGUCUGCAUGGAAGUGCUGAAGUUGGAAAUUUGCAGUUGAUAUGUUUGAUAGAAUAGUGUUGAAACUGUUAAAAUGACUGAAAUGCCCUUGAAGCUAUUAACACUAAAACUGACAUCUUGCCACAUAUUUUAUUCUAAAAUAAUUCAAAUGCAAAUUAGCUUGUGCAGUUAUUUUAAUUAUAAAUUAUAAAUUAUAAAUUAAUUAGAUCAAAUUAUUUUAAUAAAUGUAAACUAGUUAUUUGAAUAAAAUAGAAUAGUAAUAACUAAUAUUUGACCAAAGCAGAGGCCACGGUUCCAUUGGAAAACUGCAUAGAAGGGAGAUAAUAUUGGCUAAUGACAACAUGAAACCUGUUGAACAAAAUAAUAUGGAUCAUGAAGUGGCAACCACCUAUUUUUACACUGCACAGUGGCAAGGCAACUUCAGAGCUUGCUUUUUACCUGUUUGAACUGUCUUUCUUAUGCGUAACACCAUACAGGAACUGAUGACAUGUUGAGGCAAUCGCCAAUCGGCACAUGAAAGCCACUACCUUUGGGGAAUAUGAUGCCAGCUUGCGUAUGUUGGGUGUUGUGGGGUGAAAGGCAUUCCAGGUGCUUAAAUGGGAAGUGAUAAGAAUGGACAUUGGGCCUAACUCACCCCCAAAAGCUAGCUUAUGAGGUGAGGAUUGCUCAAGCCAUAUAAGGAGACCAACGACCUCAAAUCCCUCCGAUGUGGGACAACUCAACACCUAUUGGUAUAGCAGGCAAAGGUGGUAUUCAUAGUUACACGCAACAAACCACUGAAUAUUCUAAAAAAAAGAUACUUUACAGGAUGACUACGCACACGGCGCACAUUAGCAUAAAACAAAAACAAG